UACGAAGGGGGCUAGCGUUGUUCGGAAUUACUGGGCGUAAAGCGUGCGCAGGCGGCUUCUCAAGUCAGGGGUGAAAGCCCAGAGCUCAACUCUGGAAUUGCCUUUGAUACUGAAGAUCUUGAGUUCGGGAGAGGUGAGUGGAACUGCGAGUGUAGAGGUGAAAUUCGUAGAUAUUCGCAAGAACACCAGUGGCGAAGGCGGCUCACUGGCCCGAUACUGACGCUGAGGCACGAAAGCGUGGGGAGCAAACAGG
rnacentral:rRNA from 1 species